UCAUGUUUGUGUUAGUACUAAGGAAAUUUGACUUCUCUGAGCGUUUUGAUUUGAAACGCCUCAACUAUAGUUUUUAAUUGUUAAUUUCUGUUUAAAUUGGUAAAUGAAGUACAUCAGAAAUCACUGCAUUCCAUAGCUGUAUGAAAGUUAUCGCAAAAAGUUAUUGAGACUAUAAACUUAGAAAUAGAAAUCAACCAUGCAUUCAGUUUCCAAUUGAGAACAUACGCGUGACAACUGGUUAACAAAAUGUACGCAAUUAUUGGAAAUAUUAUAUUGUUUUUCAUUUAUUUCUACAUGAACUCUACAAACGCUUUAGGGGUAUUCGAUGUGGUCACAUACAAGUCUGCUACACUACCAUCUAAAAGUGAAAACAGAUUACUCAAUAUUUUAGUGCCGGUGGAAUCUUUACUGAUGAGAUCAGGUAACAAGACUAGCACUACUAGCACGAAGAAAGUGAAACGAGAAAUACCAAAGGAUGAUUUUACAUUAACGAAUCAUUACACAAAGGACAAGAAUCCAUCCUUUGUACUCAUGUUUAAAAGCCGACAGUUUAUAUUGAACGGUGACGAUUCCAAAAGAACUGAAGAAAAUAUUAAUUAAUACAUCGUAAUAUGACA